GACGAACGCUGGCGGCGUGCUUAACACAUGCAAGUCGAACGGAAAGGCCCUGCUUUUGUGGGGUGCUCGAGUGGCGAACGGGUGAGUAACACGUGAGUAACCUGCCCUUGACUUUGGGAUAACUUCAGGAAACUGGGGCUAAUACCGGAUAGGAGCUCCUGCUGCAUGGUGGGGGUUGGAAAGUUUCGGCGGUUGGGGAUGGACUCGCGGCUUAUCAGCUUGUUGGUGGGGUAGUGGCUUACCAAGGCUUUGACGGGUAGCCGGCCUGGGAGGGUGACCGGGCACAUUGGGACUGAGGGACGGCCCAGAGUCCUACGGGAGGCAGCAGUGGGGAAUAUUGCACAAUGGGAGGAAGCCUGAUGCAGCAACGCCGCGUGCGGGAUGACGGCCUUCGGGGUGUAAACCGCUGUCGCCUGUGACGAAGCGUGAGUGACGGUAAUGGGUAAAGAAGCACCGGCUAACUACGUG
rnacentral:rRNA from 1 species